AUUGAACGCUGGCGGCAGGCCUAACACAUGCAAGUCGAGCGAGAGGCGGACGGGUGAGUAAUGUCUGGGAAACUGCCUGAUGGAGGGGGAUAACGUCCGGAAACGGGCGCUAAUACCGCAUACUAUAUGAUGAGCCUAGGUCGGAUUAGCUAGUUGGUGGGGUAAAGGCCUACCACGGCGACGCUCCGUAACUGGUCUGCGAGGAUGAUCAGCCACACUGGAACUGAGACACGGUCCAGACUCCUACGGGAGGCAGCAGUGGGGAAUAUGGCACAAUGGGCGCAAGCCGGAUGCAGCCAUGCCGCGUGUGUGAAGAAGGCCUUCGGGUUGUAAAGCACUUUCAGCGGGGAGGCGUUACCCGCAGAAGAAGCACCGGCUAACUCCGUGCCAGCAGCCGCGGUAAUAC
rnacentral:rRNA from 1 species